rnacentral:rRNA from 1 species
GUGGGGAAUAUUGGACAAUGGGCGAAAGCCUGAUCCAGCCACGCCGCGUGAGUGAUGAAGGCCCUCGGGUCGUAAAGCUCUGUGGGGAAGGACGAAAAUGCACGAGUUAAUAGCUCGUGUCCUGACGGUACUUCCUUAGCAAGCACCGGCUAACUCCGUGCCAGCAGCCGCGGUAAUACGGGGGGUGCAAACGUUGCUCGGAAUUAUUGGGCGUAAAGCGCGCGUAGGCGGUCCGAUAAGUCGGAUGUGAAAGCCCUCGGCUUAACCGGGGAAGUGCACUCGAAACUGUCGGACUUGAGUAUGGGAGAGGGUUGCGGAAUUCCCGGUGUAGAGGUGAAAUUCGUAGAUAUCGGGAGGAACACCAGAGGCGAAGGCGGCAACCUGGACCAAUACUGACGCUGAGGUGCGAAAGCGUGGGGAGCAAACAGG